ACGGGAGGCAGCAGUGGGGAAUAUUGGGUAAUGGGCGAACGCCUGACCCAGCAACGCCGCGUGAAGGAAGAAGGUCUUCGGAUUGUAAACUUCUUUUAUGAGGGACGAAGGACGUGACGGUACCUCAUGAAUAAGCCACGGCUAACUACGUGCCAGCAGCCGCGGUAAUACGUAGGUGGCAAGCGUUAUCCGGAUUUACUGGGUGUAAAGGGCGCGUAGGCGGGGAGACAAGUCAGGUGUGAAAUCUGUGGGCUUAACCCAUAAACUGCAUGUGAAACUGUAUCUCUUGAGUGCUGGAGAGGUAGAUGGAAUUCCUUGUGUAGCGGUGAAAUGCGUAGAUAUAAGGAUGAACACCAGUGGCGAAGGCGAUCUACUGGACAGUAACUGACGCUGGGGAGCGAAAGCGUGGGGAGCAAACAGGAUUAGAUACCCUGGUA
rnacentral:rRNA from 1 species